CGGGGACGGCAAAGUAAACUGCAACAUAAACAAUGAUUUCAAUGUAUCCGUUAGCUUCAAAUAGAAACGGAAUAAAGGAUACUUAUGCGUAUACUUUUGUAUCUGUAUAGUAAGAAAGACGACUGCAGGACAAAAGUCCUUCUUCUAGCACCGAAAAAAACCCACAUUUGCUUCAGCCGACAAAACACGGUUAUCAUGUUUAAAUUGAGUAAGUCAUGGACAUUUGCUUCAAAGUUUUUAAUCAAAUACUCUUCAUUUAUUUUCCGGCAUGUUUCUUUUUUGUUUGUAUAAAAGACUGUUCACGUCAUAAUCCAUAGUACGUUUAUUACGUCUAUACUUUCGCGGACC
rnacentral:lncRNA from 1 species